CACCAUUGUAAGUUCUGGCACAGAGUGCGGGGCACAAACCUACAGAUGUCAUGAUUUUUUUUAAAAAAAAGCUCACUUCUUCUCAAUGCUUAUUAACUGGACUUACUAAGUUUUUUUCAAUCCAUCUCUGCAACGGAUGAUUAUUACAUACCUUCCUGGUAUUGUGCCAGGUGUAACAGCCAUCAAGAUUAAAAAUCACCUCUCCAAAGGAGCCUCAGUCUGACUGCACUGGACAAACACAUAAGCCAGAACUCUUGAAGAAAAUAGUUCUUGGAAUGACAUCUUCCAUCUAAUGUCUGAAACUAAUGUAAGGGAGAAGAAAGGUGAGAGUGAAGAAAUCAGAAGCUGUACAUGAAUACUGAGAUUGCUGACAAAGCAACUGAAUGCUUAAUCAUCGCAUCUAAAACAAGUUGAGACAUCUACCUACAUCAAUCCAUCUCCCCAAGCUAGACUUUUAAGACAACAGAAAGCUCUAUCAAAUCUUAUCAUUUUAUAGCACCUGGGUACGACAGUGACAUCUUAAGAAACUUAAGACUUUGACAAGGGUGGGUUUAUCAGAGCCCUCGGCCAUUGGCAAAGUUCUUGUAGCCCUGAUACUGCCACUGGGGCUGCUUCCAACAUUCAAAGAAGCUCAAGACUCCCAGUGAUGACGGGUCUUUUCCCGCAGUCUCCUCUGGAUUCUCUUCCCAACUAGAGCUGCAACUGCGGAAGUUCCACUGCAGCUUCUGCCUCCCCACUUGAGGAUCACUUUGAUGGGUAAGUCUGUAAGGACCAGUCCUUUUCAACUGCACAUUUCUCUUUGAGAUCUGCCCACAGGCAGAAAACACUUGGGUGCUUUGCCCUCCAGCAUGGCCUGGGACUGGAUGGUUAAAUCUAAUUCUGG
rnacentral:lncRNA from 1 species